GAUUCCUACGGGAGGCAGCAGUGGGGAAUAUUGCACAAUGGGCGAAAGCCUGAUGCAGCGACGCCGCGUGAGGGAUGAAGGCCUUCGGGUUGUAAACCUCUUUCAGCAGGGACGAAGCGCAAGUGACGGUACCUGCAGAAGAAGCACCGGCUAACUACGUCCCAGCAGCCGCGGUAAUACGUAGGGUGCAAGCGUUGUCCGGAAUUACUGGGCGUAAAGAGUUCGUAGGCGGUUUGUCGCGUCGUUUGUGAAAACUCACAGCUCAACUGUGAGCUUGCAGGCGAUACGGGCAGACUUGAGUACUGGAGGGGAGACUGGAAUUCCUGGUGUAGCGGUGAAAUGCGCAGAUAUCAGGAGGAACACCGGUGGCGAAGGCGGGUCUCUGGGCAGUAACUGACGCUGAGGAACGAAAGCGUGGGUAGCGAACAGGAUUAGAUACCCUGGUAGUCCACGCCGUAAACGGUGGCCCUUAUCUGUGGGUUCCUUCCACGGAAUCUGUGCCGUAGCUAACGCAUUAAGCGCCCCGCAUGGG
rnacentral:rRNA from 1 species